UCACAAUAUCGCAUGAUAUUGUGUGAAAAACUCCGGUGGUAUAGGAUGGACCCGCGUCUGAUUAGCUAGUUGGUGAGGUAAUGGCUCACCAAGGCGACGAUCAGUAGCCGGCCUGAGAGGGUGAACGGCCACAUUGGGACUGAGACACGGCCCAAACUCCUACGGGAGGCAGCAGCGGGGAAUAUUGCACAAUGGGGGAAACCCUGAUGCAGCAACGCCGCGUGAAGGAAGAAGGUUUUCGGAUCGUAAACUUCUAUCAGCAGGGAAGAAAUUGACAGUACCUGACUAAGAAGCCCCGGCUAACUACGUGCCAGCAGCCGCGGUAAUACGUAGGGGGCAAGCGUUAUCCGGAAUUACUGGGUGUAAAGGGUGCGUAGGCGGCGAGGCAAGUCAGAUGUGAAAGCCCUAGGCUCAACUUAGGGACUGCAUUUGAAACUGCUUUGCUAGAGUGCAGGAGAGGAAAGCGGAAUUCCUAGUGUAGCGGUGAAAUGCGUAGAUAUUAGGAGGAACACCAGUGGCGAAGGCGGCUUUCUGGACUGUAACUGACGCUGAGGCACGAAAGCGUGGGGAGCGAACAGGAUUAGAUACCCUGGUAGUCCACGCUGUAAACGAUGAGA
rnacentral:rRNA from 1 species